AACGAAUGCUGGCGGCAUGCCUAACACAUGCAAGUCGAACGAGACCUUCGGGUCUAGUGGCGCACGGGUGCGUAACGCGUGGGAACCUGCCCUUAGGUUCGGAAUAACUCCCCGAAAGGGGUGCUAAUACCGGAUAAUGUCUUCGGACCAAAGAUUUAUCGCCUUUGGAUGGGCCCGCGUUGGAUUAGCUAGUUGGUAGGGUAAAAGCCUACCAAGGCGACGAUCCAUAGCUGGUCUGAGAGGAUGAUCAGCCACACUGGGACUGAGACACGGCCCAGACUCCUACGGGAGGCAGCAGUGGGGAAUAUUGGACAAUGGGCGAAAGCCUGAUCCAGCAAUGCCGCGUGAGUGAUGAAGGCCUUAGGGUUGUAAAGCUCUUUUACCCGGGAUGAUAAUGACAGUACCGGGAGAAUAAGCUCCGGCUAACUCCGU
rnacentral:rRNA from 1 species